rnacentral:rRNA from 1 species
UGGGGGAUAUUGCACAAUGGGCGAAAGCCUGAUGCAGCGACGCCGCGUGGGGGAUGAAGGCUUUCGGGUUGUAAACCUCUUUCGCUAUCGAACAAGGCCCGCUUAGGGUGGGUUGAGGGUAGGUGGAGAAGAAGCGCCGGCUAACUACGUGCCAGCAGCCGCGGUAAUACGUAGGGCGCGAGCGGUGUCCGGAAUUAUUGGGCGUAAAGGGCUUGUAGGCGGCUUGUUGCGCCUGCUGUGAAAACGCGGGGCUUAACUUCGCGCGUGCAGUGGGUACGGGCAAGCUUGAGUGUUGUAAGGGGGACUAGAAUUCCAGGUGUUGCGGUGGAAUGCGCAGAUAUCUGGAGGAACACCGAUGGCGAAAGCAGGUCACUGGGGCAUUACUGACGCUGAGGAGCGAAAGCAUGGGUAGCGAACAGG